rnacentral:tRNA from 1 species
GUGGGUAUAGCUCAGUGGUAGAGCUCAUGCUCAGCAUGCAUGAGGUCCUGGGUUCAAUCCACAGUACCUCCA